AAAAAAAGAAGCAUCCUUCUUGUGAUCGUUUGCCGGCAAUAAUUGCUUAUAUGUUUGAAUGGUUUUGUUAUGAUCUGGGCCUAUUUGUUUUCUGAAAAUUCCAGUCUUAUUGGUCAUUUCCAUAGAUCUGUUUUAUUAUUAUUUUUUUUCAUGUAUCACCAUCAUUUUUAAAAUGAUACGAAAGAGUUGCAGGCUGGCUAGAGUUUUGAGUUCCUACUUUGGUUGAGACUUGUGCCAAUGAAUAUGUAUAUUUUAAAAGUUUUCGUUGAUGAUAAAGGUCUCUUAGAGUUGUCGAUUGGUUCAUUCAUUGUCAUUAUUAUUAUCUAAUCAUUGGUUUUUGGUGAUUUGGCUAUACUUUUGGUGAUUUGGCUAUACUGAGGCAUAUAAUCUUAGUUUAAAGAUUUCCUCUUGUAUGUAGUUCCAACUUCCAUUGGGAAAAUAAUAAUUAUUUCAUGGUUCUAAUAUAAACAAAAGACAGAUCUAAUCUAGUCCAGAGGCUAUUCCGUCAUUUCAUGCAAUUUCUGUUUUUGGAAGUUUUAGAUGUUUCAUUUAUUUAUUGGAGUGAUCCCAUU
rnacentral:misc_RNA from 1 species